GAUAAACGCUGGCGGCGCACAUAAGACAUGCAAGUCGAACGGAAGUCGUUUUAGUGAUUCUGAUAUGAAAGAUUUAUCCAGAUUUGAAGAUGAUCUAAAACAAUGGCUUUAGUGGCGGACUGGUGAGUAACACGUAAGCAACCUGCCUGUUAGAGGGGAAUAACAACGAGAAAUCGUUGCUAAUACCGCAUAUGCCAUAGGAACCACAUGGUUCUAGUGGGAAAGGAGCAAUCCGCUAACAGAUGGGCUUGCGUCUGAUUAGAUAGUUGGUGGGGUAACGGCCUACCAAGUCGACGAUCAGUAGCCGGACUGAGAGGUUCAACGGGCCAACAUUGGGACUGAGAUACGGCCCAGACUCCUACGGAGGCAGCAGUCGGGAAUAUUGCGCAAUGGAGGAAACUCUGACGCAGUGACGCCGCGUAUAGGAAGAAAGGUUUUUCGGAUUGUAAACUAUUGUCUGCAGGGAGAAACAAGACUGUACCUGC
rnacentral:rRNA from 1 species